rnacentral:misc_RNA from 1 species
AACGCACCUUGCGCUCCUUGGUAUUCCGAGGAGCAUGCCUGUUUGAGUGUCAUUAAAUUCUCAACCUCACCAGCUUUGUCAAGAGGCUGUGUGCAGGCUUGGAUAUGGGGGUUUCUGCAGGCUGCCUCAAUGCUGGUCUGCUCCCCUGAAAUGCAUUAGCGAGUUCAUGCUGGGCUCUGUCUAUUGGUGUGAUAAUUAUCUACGCCACAGAUUGGGCUUAGACUUGCUUCUAACUGUCCACAAGGACAACUAUUUCAACUUUUUGACCUCAAAUCAGGUAGGACUACCCGCUGAACUUAA